rnacentral:rRNA from 1 species
ACUCAAAUGAAUUGACGGGGGCCCGCACAAGCGGCGGAGCAUGUGGCUCAAUUCGAUGCAACGCGAAGAACCUUACCUGGGCUGAACUACGCGGGAAAAGCCGUAGAAAUACGGUGUCCUUCGGGGUCCGCGAUAGGUGGUGCAUGGCUGUCGUCAGCUCGUGUCGUGAGAUGUUGGGUUAAGUCCCGCAACGAGCGCAACCCUUAUCCCAUGUUGCCAGCGGGUAAUGCCGGGGACUCGUGGGGGACUGCCGGUGCCAAACCGGAGGAAGGUGGGGACGAGGUCAAGUCAUCAUGCCCCUUACGUCCAGGGCUGCACACAUGCUACAAUGGCCGGUACAAAGGGCUGCAAUCCCGCGAGGGGGAGCUAAUCCCAGAAAGCCGGUCUCAGUUCGGAUCGUAGUCUGCAACUCGACUGCGUGAAGUCGGAGUCGCUAGUAAUCGCAGAUCAGCAUUGCUGCGGUGAAUACGUUCCCGGGCCUUGUACACACCGCCCGU